CAUGUAGGGUCACGAAAGACAGGUUAUGCAGAGUUAGAGUCUAGGUCCACUACAAAAAUUGAUUUGGAAUUAAAUAAUAUAAUACCGUGGAUAUGGAAGAGAGUAAUGACCAUACCCAGAGUCAAAUAUAAUUUUAAAAUUGGUUGCUGGGACUUAGAUGAACAUAAGUGAAAAACAGAAGUGUAUUUAGUGAAAAUGAAACUAAACGACAUGGUUAAAACCGAAAGUGAAAUAAAAGACUAUUAAGAGAAUAGAGUGAAACAAAUGGAUAAAUGUGUUAGGAAAGAAAUUAGUCGUGGAAACCACGGACAAAAGUAUAAAUACACGAAGACUGAUUAUAAUGAUUUUUCGUAUGCUAGUUUUUGUGACAAAGAUAGAGAAAAUAUGGAUUGUAGUGAUUUCCUAAACGGUACCGACCCUUUUACUGGAAACCUGACGAGUGAAAUUUUAAGUGUAAAAAGGAAAUUAUAUUUGAAAAGAUUGAAUAUAAGAAGGAAGAAAGAUGAGAAGGGAGUAUAUAGGAAUAAUUUAGUUUUCUUUUAUGACGCAGUUUAUGGUUUGAAAGGUGCGGAGUGUGGAAAAAUUAUCAGUAGCUUAGGGUGACCAUAUGCGCCGUUUAUACGGGACACGUCCCGGCCAGGAUUUUAAUAUUGCCUAAAAUAUCCAGGUUUUGGCUGUUUGCAGGUCGAUCGUUGUGCGACAUUCAUGAGAGCUAGAGAGCAGAGCAGACGGCUCCUUAUGCUUUCGGAUCGCUCUCGCACCUACUUUGCUGUCUUUUUGAGCAGUGACGAUUCUAUCAAACGAACGAACGAACGAACACGUGCGCAUAUUGCAUCGCUUUGAUUGUUCCAUGUAGAUCUCGCCUUCUCACGCGCAGCCCCACGAUUGGUCGAUUAUGUAUAAUACCUGCAUGUUAUUGGUCAAACUGCUUUGGACGUUUUAGGCAAUAUUAAAAUCUGGCCGGGACGUGUCCCGUAUGAACGGCGCAUAUGGUCACCCUACAGUAGCUGCUCUAAAGAUUUUGAUCCUUUGACUAUUAAUCAAGUGGCUACAGUUCUGUGUUACUGGAGUGCAAGUAUAGUCCCGCUGCCCUGGACUUUAAAGAGGAGUAAGUUAGCUAAUAGAGCGUUGUAUGAAGUCUCCCGUUCGUCUGCCUGGUUUCUCGUCAUCGCUGUUCGUCUGCCUGGUUUCUCGUCA
ensembl:lncRNA